rnacentral:rRNA from 1 species
UGGGGAAUCUUGCGCAAUGGGCGAAAGCCUGACGCAGCCAUGCCGCGUGAAUGAUGAAGGUCUUAGGAUUGUAAAAUUCUUUCACCGGGGACGAUAAUGACGGUACCCGGAGAAGAAGCCCCGGCUAACUUCGUGCCAGCAGCCGCGGUAAUACGAAGGGGGCUAGCGUUGCUCGGAAUUACUGGGCGUAAAGGGAGCGUAGGCGGACAUUUAAGUCAGGGGUGAAAUCCCGGGGCUCAACCUCGGAAUUGCCUUUGAUACUGGGUGUCUUGAGUGUGAGAGAGGUAUGUGGAACUCCGAGUGUAGAGGUGAAAUUCGUAGAUAUUCGGAAGAACACCAGUGGCGAAGGCGACAUACUGGCUCAUUACUGACGCUGAGGCUCGAAAGCGUGGGGAGCAAACAGGAUUAGAUACCCUGGUAGUCCACGCCGUAAAACGAUGAUUGCUAGUUGUCGGGAUGCAUGCAUUUCGGUGACGCAGCUAACGCAUUAAGCAAUCC